CCUACGGGAGGCAGCAGUGAGGAAUAUUGGUCAAUGGACGAGAGUCUGAACCAGCCAAGUAGCGUGAAGGAUGACUGCCCUAUGGGUUGUAAACUUCUUUUAUAUGGGAAUAAAAUGUUCCACGUGUGGGAUUUUGUAUGUACCAUAUGAAUAAGGAUCGGCUAACUCCGUGCCAGCAGCCGCGGUAAUACGGAGGAUCCGAGCGUUAUCCGGCUUUAUUGGGUUUAAAGGGAGCGUAGGUGGAUUGUUAAGUCAGUUGUGAAAGUUUGCGGCGCAACCGUAAAAUUGCAGUUGAAACUGGCAGUCUUGAGUACAGUAGAGGUGGGCGGAAUUCGUGGUGUAGCGGUGAAAUGCUUAGAUAUCACGAAGAACUCCGAUUGCGAAGGCAGUUCACUGGACUGCAACUGACACUGAGGCUCGAAAGUGUGGGUAUCAAACAGGAUUAGAUACCCUUGUAGUC
rnacentral:rRNA from 1 species